rnacentral:rRNA from 1 species
CACUAGCCAAUAUGCUUUUUCUCGCACGCCUUUCUUCGUUCAUGGUUCGAUAUUCUGGUGUCCUAGGCGUAGAGGAACAACACCAAUCCAUCCCGAACUUGGUGGUUAAACUCUACUGCGGUGACGAUACUGUAGGAGAGGUCCUGCGGCAAAAUAGCUCGACGCCAGGAU